rnacentral:rRNA from 1 species
GACGAACGCUGGCGGCGUGCCUAAUACAUGCAAGUAGGACGCAGUUGCGAACGGGUGAGUAACGCGUAGGUAACUACCUAUUAGAGGGGGAUAACUAUUGGAAAAGAUCGCUAAUACCGCAUACUAGUAUAUGGACCUGCGUUGCAUUAGUUAGGAGGUAGGUCAAUGGCCUACCUAGGCAACGCUAAAUAGCCGACCUGAGAGGGUGAGCGGCCACACGGGGACUUAGACACGGCCCAGACUCCUACGGGAUGCAGCAGUAGGGAAUCUUCGGCAAUGGGGGGAACCCUGACCGAGCAACGCGGCGUGAGUGAAGAAGGUUUUCGGAUCGUAAAGCUCUGUUGUUAAGGAAGCGGUACUUAACCAGAAAGGGACGGCUAACUACGUGCCAGCAGCCGCGGUAAUUC